rnacentral:rRNA from 1 species
AUGGCGGUCACCGCCGGUUGUUCCGACGGUUCGAUUCCCCUCUCGGAAGCGCGACGCCACGCGGCGGCGCCGGCACGGGCGCCCAAUCUCCGGUUCCCCGUCACGCCCCGGCCCAGUUGUGCAGCCUCGAAGUUGCCGCCGACUAGCCAUGACGACGUGGCCGCCCGUGAGAUCCCGGUUGCUGUCGCCCUGCUACUCGCCGCCGCGGCCGCGAACGCUGCGUCCGGAGGCUCCAUGGGCGGGCGCUCCUCCUCCUCCUCCUCGUCCUCGAGCUCCUCUUCUUCAACAUCCAGACCAUCUUGGUACGAUUCUUCGACGAUUCACCAGUCGGUCGGGACGGCUGCCGCACCACCCCGGGCUGCUGCAGACGUCGACCCCGCCGUACUCGUGCAAGCGUGGCUGAUGCUCAUCGGCCUCAUUCUCCUGGCCGUCGCCGUGUGGCACUACACUCGGCCGAGGAGAACCGUGGUCAAGCUCCAGGUUGCGUUGCUGGGCUUGGCAAAGCCGUUUCAGAUGGAACUGAACGAGAUCGCUGAGAAGGUGGAGGCUUCGAACCAGCGUUGGUAUAAGUUCAUAUUGACGGAGACCAUAUGUGCCUUGAACCGUCACAAUGAUUGUUGCGUCUCUUCAAGCUUAUCGGCUGAUGUCAAAGUUGGAGCGGAUUCUUGGGAGGAGCAUUUCGAUAAAAUUUCUCUAGAGGAGAGGAGCAAAUUUGAUGAAGAAACACUUUACAACUUGGACGGAAUCAAGGGGUAGAAAGUAUACUCCAAAAAAACAGAUGGCUUCAGCAACGAAUAUUUUGUGGUAACCAUCCUAGUGGUUGCUGAUGGAGCACUGAAGUUCCCAAAAAUCAAAAGACCCGCUGAUCUGGUGGCAGUACUGGAAAAACUUAAUUCUAUAUCUGCAAGCAAAAUGCGGGGCGUUAAUGUUUUAUGGACUCCUCAAGAAGAGAACGACGUUCUUUCCGAAGAGAGGCUUCUUGCAGAUUAUCCUAAUCUGAAGGCCCUGAGUGAUUACUAG